rnacentral:rRNA from 1 species
UGGGGAAUUUUGGACAAUGGGCGAAAGCCUGAUCCAGCAAUGCCGCGUGUGUGAAGAAGGCCUUCGGGUUGUAAAGCACUUUUGUCCGGAAAGAAAUCCUUGGCUCUAAUACAGUCGGGGGAUGACGGUACCGGAAGAAUAAGCACCGGCUAACUACGUGCCAGCAGCCGCGGUAAUACGUAGGGUGCAAGCGUUAAUCGGAAUUACUGGGCGUAAAGCGUGCGCAGGCGGUUUGCUAAGACCGAUGUGAAAUCCCCGGGCUCAACCUGGGAACUGCAUUGGUGACUGGCAGGCUAGAGUAUGGCAGAGGGGGGUAGAAUUCCACGUGUAGCAGUGAAAUGCGUAGAGAUGUGGAGGAAUACCGAUGGCGAAGGCAGCCCCCUGGGAUGAUACUGACGCUCAUGCACGAAAGCGUGGGGAGCAAACAGGAUUAGAUACCCUGGUAGUCCCACGCCUAACCGAAUGCGUACAACUAAGCUGGUUGGGGUUUGGAUUUAAUCCACUUAGUAGCGCAGCUAACGCGUGAAGUUGACCGCCUGGGGAGUACGGUCGCAAGAUUAAAACUCAAAGGAAUUGACGGGGUCAUAGCUG